GGUUGAUCCUGCCGGACCUGACUGCUAUCUGAUUGGUACUAAGCCAUGCGAGUCGUUGUACAAUACAAGGCGGACUGCUCAGUAACACGUAGUUAACUUAACCUAUGGAUGGGCACAACCUCGGGAAACUGAGAAUAAUACCCAAUGGACCACAGUGCCUGGAAUGGCCUGUGGUUGAAAUGAUUUAUCGCCGUAGGAUAGGACUGCGGCCUAUCAGCUUGUUGGUGAGGUAAUGGCCCACCAAGGCUAUAACAGGUACGGGCUCUGAGAGGAGGGGCCCGGAGAUGGGUACUGAGACACGGACCCAGGCCCUAUGGGGCGCAGCAGGCGAGAAACCUUUGCAAUGUGCGAAAGCACGACAAGGUUAAUCCGAGUGUCUCCUGCUAAAGGAGUCUUUUGUCAGUUGUAGAAUCACUGGUGAAUAAGGGGUGGGCAAGUUCUGGUGUCAGCCGCCGCGGUANAACCAGCACCUCGAGUGGUCAGGAGGUUUAUUGGGCCUAAAGCAUCCGUAGCCGGUUGCCUAAGUUUCCGGUUAAAUCUAUGCGCUUAACGUAUA
rnacentral:rRNA from 1 species